rnacentral:rRNA from 1 species
CCCGGUUGAUCCUGCCAGACCCUACUGCUAUCGGGGGUGGGACUUAAACAGGCGAGUCGAACGACUCCAAGCCAUGAUGGAGUCGUGGCACACGGCUCAGUAACACGUGGCCAACCCACCCUCGGGACGGAGACAACCCCGGGAAACUAGAGCUAAUCCCCGAUAGGCGAAGACCCCUGGAAUGGGUCCUCACCCAAAAGGCGUUACAGUCAUGCUCUGUAACCUCGCCCGAGGACGGGGCCGCGGCCGAUCAGGUAGUUGGUGAGGCAACGGCUCACCAAGCCUAUAACCGGUACGGGCCGCGGGAGCGGGAGCCCGGAGAUGGGCACUGAGACAAGGGCCCAGGCCCUACGGGGCGCAGCCGUUGCGAAAACUCCGCAAUGCACGAAAGUGUGACGGGGCUACCCCGAGUGCCGUCCGCUGAGGAUGGCUUUUCUCUGCUGUAAGGAGGCAGAGGAAUAAGGAGAGGGCAAGUCUGGUGUCAGCCGCCGCGGUAAUACCAGCUCUCCGAGUGGUAGGGAUGAUUAUUGGGCUUAAAGCGUCCGUAGCCGGCCUUUCAAGUCUCUCGUUAAAUCCAGCGAUUCAAUCGCUGGACUGCGGGAGAUACUGUUUGGCUAGGGGGCGGGAGAAGCCGACGGUAUUCUCAGGGUAGGGGUAAAAUCCUAUAAUCCUGGGAAGACCACCAGUGGCGUAGGCGGUCGGCUAGCACGCGCUCGACGGUGAGGGACGAAAGCUGGGGGAGCGAACCGGAUUAGAUACCCGGGUAGUCCCAGCUGUAAACGAUGCGGGCUAGGUGUUGGAGCGGCUACGAGCCGCUUCAGUGCCGCAGGGAAGCCAUUAAGCCCGCCGCCUGGGGAGUACGGCCGCAAGGCUGAAACUUAAAGGAAUNGGCGGGGGA